rnacentral:misc_RNA from 1 species
GUGCUGCAGCAGCUGCAGAGCGGCUAUGGACAACUUACAACAAGCUUGCUAGGGACCCAAAGCAAGUUACUAGAAGAUUAGCACACUUCAGGUGUCUGUUGAAUCAAAGAGGAAUAGCAGCAGCUCCAUUAGCUGGACCUGGCCGAGGAGCCCCUCAAGAGCCAGGUUCUUGCUACUCACAGUAGCAAAUAUAUAUGCAGGCACAUAUCUGAUUCUUAUGGGUGAAAUACUGUCUGUUCGCAAUGAACCCAUUUAUAAUGACAUCAUAAUAAUGCAUCAUAAUAAAGGUCAGAUUGCUUCUGUUUCCAUCUCACAAAUCUUGAAAACUG